UGGGGAAUAUUGCGCAAUGGGCGAAAGCCUGACGCAGCAACGCCGCGUGAGGGAUGACGGCCUUCGGGUUGUAAACCUCUUUCAGCAGGGACGAAGCGAGAGUGACUGUACCUGCAGAAGAAGCGCCGGCUAACUACGUGCCAGCAGCCGCGGUAAUACGUAGGGCGCAAGCGUUGUCCGGAUUUAUUGGGCGUAAAGAGCUCGUAGGCGGUCUGUCGCGUCGGAUGUGAAAACCCGGAGCUCAACUCCGGGCCUGCAUUCGAUACGGGCAGACUUGAGUACUGCAGGGGAGACUGGAAUUCCUGGUGUAGCGGUGGAAUGCGCAGAUAUCAGGAGGAACACCGGUGGCGAAGGCGGGUCUCUGGGCAGAAACUGACGCUGAGGAGCGAAAGCGUGGGGAGCGAACAGG
rnacentral:rRNA from 1 species